GAUGAACGCUGGCGGCGUGCCUAAUACAUGCAAGUCGAGCGAACAGACGAGGAGCUUGCUCCUCUGACGUUAGCGGCGGACGGGUGAGUAACACGUGGAUAACCUACCUAUAAGACUGGGAUAACUUCGGGAAACCGGAGCUAAUACCGGAUAAUAUAUUGAACCGCAUGGUUCAAUAGUGAAAGACGGUUUUGCUGUCACUUAUAGAUGGAUUCGCGCCGCAUUAGCUAGUUGGUAAGGUAACGGCUUACCAAGGCAACGAUGCGUAGCCGACCUGAGAGGGUGAUCGGCCACACUGGAACUGAGACACGGUCCAGACUCCUACGGGAGGCAGCAGUAGGGAAUCUUCCGCAAUGGGCGAAAGCCUGACGGAGCAACGCCGCGGGAGGGAUGAAGGUCUUCGGAUCGUAAAACUCUGUUAUUAGGGAAGAACAAAUGUGUAAGUAACUAUGCACGUCUUGACGGUACCUAAUCAGAAAGCCACGGCUAACUACGUG
rnacentral:rRNA from 1 species